ACACUUCUUAAUUUCUCAAUGCGUCCUGUUAGACUCCCUUCUUUGCGCCUAGAGCAUUUUCUUACCUACAUUCCCAAUUUUAAGCCUAUUUUUGUCUUUUAUAUAUAUUUUUUUAUUUUUUAUUUUCUUAUUAUUGCUUUAUUUAUUUAUUUUUGUUCUUUCUUUUAUUUCCUUUAGUUUUUUUAGUUCUUUUAUCUCUUGCGUUGAUAGUGUUCCCCCUCUCUUUAAUUAUUUCUUUUAUCUUUUUUAUUGCUUUAUUUUUUAGUUUAUUUUAUUGUAUUUUUAGUUGAUGCAUAAUUGUUAAUCCAAAAAGAUAAAAUGCGAUAAAACCUCAAUCAACAUCUUUUUUAAUAAGAACCUCGUAUCAUUUCAAACCAAUUCAUAAACUAUUUUCACUAAUGCGAUAAAACCUCAAUCAAC
rnacentral:lncRNA from 1 species